rnacentral:lncRNA from 1 species
CUCUUGGGGGUGAGGCAGCAUUUUCCUUGAUCUGGUUUCACUUGGAUUACAAACCCUAAGAACAGCAUUCAAAGAUAAAGUAACUCUGUGAGCAGGGCCCUUGAUCCGUGCGAUCUGAUUGGUACGCGAGUUUGUAAAAAGUCUCCUCUCGGAAUUCAUGUUGUAUAUUGUCAAGGCAAUUAAAAGUUGCAAUUUGAUCACAUAAUAGAGUGGAAGAUACUGACAGAAUAUGGCAAACGAAAUCAAAGACAGUGUAAAAGAAUAUUACGGCAAAAUUUUGCAAACAAAUGAAGAUUUAAAGACCAAUGCUUGCGUACAAGUGGGUAUAGUGCCAAAGCAAGUAAAAGAGGCACUUAAUUUGUGUCAUGAGGAGGUUGUAUCGAGGUAUU